GCAAUGCGUGGCAUACGGCUCAGUAACACGUAGUCAACAUGCCCAGGGGACGUGGAUAACCUCGGGAAACUGAGGAUAAACCACGAUAGGCCAAGAUUUCUGGAAUGAAUCAUGGCUGAAAUCUACAUGGCCCUUGGAUUGGACUGCGGCCGAUCAGGCUGUUGGUGAGGUAAUGGCCCACCAAACCUAUAACCGGUACGGGCUCUGAGAGGAGGAGCCCGGAGAUGGGCACUGAGACAAGGGCCCAGGCCCUAUGGGGCGCAGCAGGCGCGAAACCUCUGCAAUAGGCGAAAGCUUGGCAGGGUUACUCUGAGUGAUGUCCGUUAAGGGCAUCUUUUGGCACCUCUAAAAAUGGUGUAGAAUAAGGGGUGGGCAAGUCUGGUGUCAGCCGCCGCGGUAAUACCAGCACCCCGAGUGGUCGGGACGAUUAUUGGGCCUAAAGCAUCCGUAGCCGGUUCUGCAAGUCUUCCGUUAAAUCCACCUGCUCAACAGAUGGGCUGCGGGGGAUACUACAGGGCUAGGAGGCGGGAGAGGCAAGCGGUACUCGGUGGGUAGGGGUAAAAUCCUCUGAUCCACUGAAGACCACCAGUGGCGAAGGCGGCUUGCCAGAACGCGCUCGACGGUGAGGGAUGAAAGCUGGGGGAGCAAACCGGAUUAGAUACCCGGGUAGUCCCAGCUGUAAAC
rnacentral:rRNA from 1 species